rnacentral:rRNA from 1 species
UACAGAGGUCUCAACCGUUGUUCGGAUUCAUUGGGCGUAAAGAGCUCGUAGGCGGUUUGUCGCGUCUGCUGUGAAAACUGGGGGCUCAACCCCCAGCCUGCAGUGGGUACGGGCAGACUAGAGUGCGGUAGGGGAGAUUGGAAUUCCUGGUGUAGCGGUGGAAUGCGCAGAUAUCAGGAGGAACACCGAUGGCGAAGGCAGAUCUCUGGGCCGUAACUGACGCUGAGGAGCGAAAGCAUGGGGGAGCGAACAGG